AUGGGGACUUCCUGGGGCGGGACUGACUGCCGGUCCCCCAAGCCCUCUGUGUCCCCAGUGGCUCCUGCGUCCCUCAGCAGAGCGGGGCAGGAGGUGUCCAUGGCGGCUCCUGGGGCCCGAGCUGAGAAGGCUGUCAGGUGGGACAGGUGCUGUCUGCACGGGGGAGGGAGAAAGGGUUUUCACUGGGAGAUUCAGCCUGCGGGGGACUCAGCUGUGGCGCCUCUGUGUGCAGGGGAGGGGCCAUGGCAGUGCGGGCCCUUCUGUCCUGUGCACAGGGGCUCUGCUGGCCUGUCUGUGGUGGCUCUCCAAGAUUCAAGACCCAAAGAAGCCCAGAAACCUGAUCUGCACCAGCAAGAAGACUUCCUGUGGAAGGACCUCUUGGUGGUCACCACGAUCUUCCAUGGGAAGAUGGACUCCGAGACGCCCAGCUUCAGAAUCCUCGCCCUUCCAGUAGAGGAGUCGAAGGUCCCUCAUCCUCGCUGCCCCAAGGACUGGAUCCCUUGGCUCCUCCAUCCCAGGGGAGCAGCUGCUGCCUGGGAAGAACUUAGUUGCCUCUGUUGGUGCCCAUGGAUUGCCCUGCACUACUGCCUCUCUGCCUAGAGUUAACAGAUUUAUGAGUUAACAGAAACCCAUGAGAUCAAUAAAUUGUGAAUGGAAAAACA
rnacentral:lncRNA from 1 species